GAUGAAGAACGUAGCGAAAUGCGAUAAGUAGUGUGAAUUGCAAAAUUCAGUGAAUCAUCGAAUCUUUGAACGCACAUUGCGCCCCUCGGUAUUCCGUGGGGCAUGCCUGUUCGAGCGUCAUUUAACCCCUCAAGCCUAGCUUGGUAUUGGGUGCUUGUCCCGCCUCUCGCGCGGCGACUCACCUCAAAGUCAUUGGCAGCCCGCAUCUCGCCGGCCGUGAGCGCAGCACAGACGCGCUCUUGGCAACGACAGAUCGGCUCUCCAAAAGCUUAUUUCAACCACUGACCUCGGAUCAGGUAGGGAUACCCGCUGAACUUAAGCAUAUCAAUAAGCGGAGGA
rnacentral:misc_RNA from 1 species